GAACGAUGAACCACUUCGGUGGGGAUUAGUGGCGAACGGGUGAGUAACACGUGGGCAAUCUGCCCUGCACUCUGGGACAAGCCCUGGAAACGGGGUCUAAUACCGGAUACUGACCCGCUUGGGCAUCCAAGCGGUUCGAAAGCUCCGGCGGUGCAGGAUGAGCCCGCGGCCUAUCAGCUUGUUGGUGAGGUAAUGGCUCACCAAGGCGACGACGGGUAGCCGGCCUGAGAGGGCGACCGGCCACACUGGGACUGAGACACGGCCCAGACUCCUACGGGAGGCAGCAGUGGGGAAUAUUGCACAAUGGGCGAAAGCCUGAUGCAGCGACGCCGCGUGAAGGGAUGACGGCCUUCGGGUUGUAAACCUCUUUCAGCAGGGAAGAAGCGAAAGUGACGGUACCUGCAGAAGAAGCGCCGGCUAACUACGUGCCAGCAGCCGCGGUAAUACGUAGGGCGCGAGCGUUGUCCGGAAUUAUUGGGCGUAAAGAGCUCGUAGGCGGCUUGUCACGUCGGUUGUGAAAGCCCGGGGCUUAACCCCGGGUCUGCAGUCGAUACGGGCAGGCUAGAGUUCGGUAGGGGAGAUCGGAAUUCCUGGUGUAGCGGUGAAAUGCGCAGAUAUCAGGAGGAACACCGGUGGCGAAGGCGGAUCUCUGGGCCGAUACUGACGCUGAGGAGCGAAAGCGUGGGGAGCGAACAGGAUUAGAUACCCUGGUAGUCCACGCCGUAAACGGUGGGCACUAGGUGUGGGCGACAUUCCACGUCGUCCGUGCCGCAGCUAACGCAUUAAGUGCCCCGCCUGGGGAGUACGGCCGCAAGGCUAAAACUCAAAGGAAUGGACGGGGGCCCGCACAAGCGGCGGAGCAUGUGGCUUAAUUUCGACGCAACGCGAAGAACCUUACCAAAGGCUUGACAUACCACCGGAAAGCAUCAGAGAUGGUGCCCCCCUUGUGGUCGGUGUACAGGGUGGUGGCAUGGCCUGUCGUCAGCUCGUGUCGUGGAGAUGUUGGGGUUAAGUUCCCGCAACGAGCGCCAACCCUUGUCCCGUGGUUGCCAGCAGG
rnacentral:rRNA from 1 species